AGGAAGAGAAAAAACACUCAGAGAUGGAGAGCAUGAACAGCAACGAGCAACAUUGUUCCGGCUCACAAACCUCACGCUGCACGCACGGCAGGUCAGGCCCAGCUCACGCUGCACGCACGGCAGGUCAGGCCCAGCUCACGCUGCACGCACGGCAGGUCAGGCCCAGCUUAUAGUCACCUGCACAGGUACGGUCAGGUAUAGGUACAAUGGAUAUCUGCUUGUUGUAGCAUCAUGGACAAUACACAAAACAUAAACAAAACACACGUGCUGGACAAGCUCAGACCGUAAGGCAGCAUCUAUGGAGCAGAUGGACAGGUGACAUUGUGGGUUGGGGUCCUUGAGCUCUCGAGGCUACUGGUCUAGGGGCUAGUGGGCCCUAAAGCUCUAGGGGCUAGUAGAAUCAAGGGAUAUGGGGAGAAGGCAGGCAUGGGUUAUUGAUUGGGGCCAUGAUCACAAUGAAUGGCGGUGCUGGUUCGAAGGGCCAAAUGGCCUCCUCCUGCACCUGUUUUCUAAGUUUCUAUUUCAGAAGAACUCUACAGCCCAUGGAGAACAUUGUUGUGGAGAAGCUUGAUAAUGGAACAGGCAGUCUGCAUUAGCACGCAGUGAUGCAGGCAGCGCUGGGGGUGAGGUUGCUUGAUGUUCAUGGAGUCAGGGGUUAAGUUGGGGCAGAGAUCAACCAGCAACUGACUCACGGCCUUCCCCUCUCUUUCAGGCACUGUAGGGGAUUGCACCUGAGACAUGUCUAGAACCAGGAUCAGCAGUACAACAGACAGGUACACAGACAGGUACGCAGCAGACAGGUACACAGACAGGUACGCAGCAGACAGGUACACAGCUGUACAGCAGACAGGUACACAGCAGCAGCAGACAGGUACACAGCAGACAGGUACACAGACAGGUACACAGCAGUACAGCACACAGACAGGUACACAGCUGUACAGCAGUACAGCAAACAGACAGGUACACAGCAGUACAGCACACAGACAGGUACACAGCUGUACACAGCAGACAGGUACACAGCAG